rnacentral:rRNA from 1 species
AGUGAACGUUGGCGGCGUGGAUUAGGCAUGCAAGUCGAGCGAGAACCGUAGCAACACGGGGACAGCGGCGAAAGGGACAGUAAUGUGUAGGUACCUACCUCCGGGUUCGGGAUAGCUGCGGGAAACUGCAGGUAAUACCGAAUAACGUCUCCGGACCAAAGGUGUGAUUCCACCUGGAGAGGGGCCUGCAUCCUAUUAGCUUGUUGGCGGGGUAACGGCCCACCAAGGCGACGAUGGGUAGCGGGUGCGAGAGCACGACACGCGUGAUUGGGAGUGAGAGACUGCCCAGAGAGCUACGGGUGGCUGCAGUCGUGAAUCCUCGGCAAUGGGCGCAAGCCUGACCGAGCGACGCCGCGUGCGGGAUGAAGGCCUUCGGGUUGUAAACCGCUGUCGUAGAGGAGGAAAUGCAGGGGGGUUCUCCCCUCUGUUUCACCUAUUCUAGGAGGAAGUACGGGCUAAGUUCGUGCCAGCCGCCGCGGUAA